rnacentral:rRNA from 1 species
ACGGGUGCGUAACACGUGGGAAUGUACCUAGUGGUUCGGAACAACGCUUGGAAACGAGUGCUAAUACCGGAUGAGCCCGAAAGGGGAAAGAUUUAUCGCCACUAGAUCAGCCCGCGUAGGAUUAGCUAGUUGGUAGGGUAACGGCCUACCAAGGCGACGAUCCUUAGCUGUUCUGAGAGGAAGAUCAGCCACACUGGGACUGAGACACGGCCCAGACUCCUACGGGAGGCAGCAGUUGGGAAUCUUGGACAAUGGGCGAAAGCCUGAUCCAGCCAUGCCGCGUGAGUGAUGAAGGCCUUAGGGUUGUAAAGCUCUUUUGCCCGGGAAGAUAAUGACUGUACCGGGAGAAUAAGCUCCGGCUAACUUCGUGCCAGCAGCCGCGGUAAUACGAAGGGGGCUAGCGUUGUUCGGAAUUACUGGGCGUAAAGCGUGCGCAGGCGGCUUUUCAAGUCAGGGGUGAAAGCCCAGAGCUCAACUCUGGAAAUGCCUUUGAAACUGUUAAGCUUGAGUGCGGGAGAGGUGAGUGGAAUUCCCAGUGUAGAGGUGAAAUUCGUAGA